rnacentral:rRNA from 1 species
ACUAGGAUUUAUCCUGGGGUCACAAUGGGCUUGAUUUGCAAACUUUAUUUAGCGAGGAACAAUUGGAGGGCAAGUCUGGUGCCAGCAGCCGCGGUAAUUCCAGCUCCAAUAGUGUAUAUUAAUGUUCCUGCAGUUAUUCGAUGCUCGUAGUUGGAUUUCUGGGGGCUGAGAUUGGAAGGUGGCCAAGGUCACCGCCGAACUCUUCCUUCAUCCACCUGUUAACGUUGUCCGGGAUUUGUUUCUCGGCUUCAGGCUCAGGUAUUUUACCCUUUCUAUAUAUUCAUUUAUUUAUCUUCUUUUUGAGUAAAUUAUAGUGUUUCAGGCAGGCGUGCGCCGGAAUACUUUAGCAUGGAAUAAUCGAAUUGGACCGUGUAUUCUUAUAGAAUUCUUCCUUAUUUGUUGGUUUCAAGGACACGGAAAUGGUUAAUAGGGAUAGUGUUUUCAGGGGAGGCAUUAGUAUUUAAUUUCCAGAGGUGAAAUUCUUUGAAAUAUUAAAGACUAACUUAUGCGAAAGCAUUUAUUUUGCCAAUAAUGUUUUCAUUAAUCAUUGAACGAAAGUUAGGGGAUCAAAGACGAUCAGAUACCGUCCUAGUCUUAACCAUAAACGUUGCCGACUAGGGAUCGGAGGGCGUGCACAUUCCGCCUUCGGCACCUUACGAGAAAUCAAAGUCUUUUGGGUUCUGGGGGUAGUAUGGUCGCAAGGCUGAAACUUAAAGGAAUUGACGGAAGGGCACCACCAGGAGUGGAGCUUGCGGCUCAAUUUGACUCAACACGGGAAAUCUUACCAGGUCCAGACAUAGCGAGGAUUGACAGAUUGAUAGCUCUUUCUUGAUUCUAUGGGUAUUUAUUUUAAUUUUGGUGGUGCAUGGCCGUUCUUAGUUGGUGGAGUGAUUUGUCUGGUUAAUUCCGUUAAACGAACGAGACCUCAGCCUGCUAAAUAGUUACCUGUCUUUCUUUUACGAGACUUGAUAACUUCUUAGAGGGACGUUGUGUGCAACCACAAGGAAGUUGAGGCAAUAACAGGUCUGUGAUGCCCUUAGAUGUCCUGGGCCGCACGCGUGCUACACUGAUACGUACAACAAGGUAUAUGCAUUUAUGCAUCGAUGCUGCUCCGAAAUAGACACAGCUAAAUCUUCUAAAAUACGUAUCGUGCUGCGGAUAGAUCGUUGAAAUUAUGGAUCUUGAAGGCGGAAUUCCUAGUAAGCGCGGGUCAUCAACCCGCGUUGAUUACGUCCCUGCCCUUUGUACACACCGCCCGUCGCUCCUACCAAUUUCGAGUGGCUCGGUGAACCUCUUUGGACUGUCGAGCAAUCGCGAAAUUAGAGUGAACCUGGUCAC